rnacentral:lncRNA from 1 species
UUGAUCUAAACAAAACUUUAAUUAAGCAUUCAAGCUUUUAAACCUCUGCAAAACCCUUAAGGGCACGUUUGUUUGACAUGAUUAGCAAGGCUUGGACUGGACUAGACUAUAGUCCUGUGUUUGGUGUGCAACCGGAUUAGCUUUAAUGAGCUUAACCCGGACUCGCUUGGACUAAGGACCUCCUUAGGUGGUCUUCGCGAGCAACCCCAAAGCCCAGUGGAUUCGUAAGCCAGAGCAAACCGAGAGAGUUUCUGCCUUCCCUUCGUCCUGUUUUCCCUUCGUCCUCAUCUCUACGUUCCCUCUCAUCUUCGUUGCCGUGCUCUCUCAUCUUCGUCCUCCUUACCCUCAUCUGAGCGUCUUCCUGUCUCUGCAUCUGCUCGCCUCAUCUGAGUUGUACGGUAAACUUCGAUUCUUCUAUUAAUUGCAUGUAUUUGUGUUGCAGAUGGUAAUUUUACUGAGUUUUAUGUGAUUUGAUUGUUUUGGGUUUGAUAAUUUUUGAAUCAUAGAGAUCUGCACUUGAAUAAAUUAGGGUUUUGAUAUUUAGGUGAAAUUGAAAUUAGGAUUUGGGCUUUCAUAAGAUGAGAUGGAACUUGGGAAUUUAGGAUGUCAAUGUUGUAAAACUUGGAAGUCCUACCCACAUGUUGUUUUCGAUUUUUAAAAAUUGGGGUUUCAACAAUGGGAGUACUCUGUGCGUGUGUGUGUGUGUGUUUCUGUGUGUGUGUCUCUGUGUGUGUGUAUAAUUUAUGUGUAUGUCAGUACCAAAAAUCCUCGUCUCCAAGCAUACUCUCUCCAAGCACCUGUUUCACUGUAUGUUUCUAUCUGCCAAAUUAGGAUGAAUUGAUGAGUUCGUACAGAAGAGUUUCCUCUUCUCGAUUUUAUGUGUUUGUGUGUGUUUGUGUAUGUAAGUUCUCCGUGUGUGUGUGAGUGUGUACUAUGUGUGUGUAAGUGUACUCUGUGUGUGUGUGUUUGUGCACUCAUUAACGUGGGGGGGGUGUGUGUGUGUGCAGUGUGUGUGUGCAGUGUGUAUGCAGUAUGUAUGCAAUAUGUAUGCAGUAUGUAUGCAGUGUGUGUGCAGUGUGUAUGCAGUGUGUAUGCAGUAUGUAUGUAGUGUGUGUGCAGUGUGUGUGCAGUGUGUGUGUAUGCAGUGUAUGCAGUGUGUGUGUGUGUGUGUAUGCAGUGUGUGUGUGUGUGCAGUGUGUGUGUGUGUAUGCAGUGUGUGUGUGUGUAUGCAGUGUGUGUGUGUGUGUAUGCAGUGUGUGUAUGCAGUGUGUGUGUGUGUGCAGUGUGUAUGCAGUAUGUAUGCAGUGUGUGUGUGCAGUGUGUGUGUGUGUAUGUAUGCAAUAUGUGUGUGUGUAUGCAGUGUGUGUGCAGUGUGUGUGUGCAGUAUGUAUGCAGUGUGUGUAUGCAGUGUAUGUGUGCAGUGUGUAUGCAGUAUGUAUGCAGUGUGUGUGUGUGCAGUGUGUGUGUGCAGUGUGUGUGUGUGUGUGUGUAUGCAGUGUGCAGUGUGUGUAUGUAUGUGUGUGUAUGCAGUGUGUGUGUGUGUGUAUGUAUGUAUGCAGUGUGUGUGUGUGUGUGUAUGCAGUGCAUGCAGUGUGUGUAUGUAUGUAUGCAGUGUGUAUGCAGUGUGUGUGUGUAUGCAGUGUGUGUGUAUGUGUAUGUAUGUAUGCAGUGUGUGUGUGUGUGUAUGCAGUGUAUGCAGUGUGUGUAUGUAUGUAUGCAGUGUGUGUGUGUGUGUGUGUGUAUGUAUGCAGUGUGUGUGUGUGUACUUGGUUUAUAACCAUGAUAUUACAAUGUGAAUGUUUUGUAUUGUGUGGGGUUGAUGCUGAAUUGCAAUUUUUUGUGGUUGUUGGUUGCAAAGAAGAAGAGCAUAAACGGAAGGCUAAGGCUAAGGCUACUGCAUUACAGGUGUCCUUUAAUUUCCCUCUUCACAUGCAAUGCCUAGCAAUGAUAGCAAUCCUCAUACUAGUGUUCUUAGACACAUGUUUAUAGAUGUAUAAGAGUAGAACAUUUUUUUUCAACGCCACCUGUAUAUUUGUUGCCUCGGGUUAAUGAUAACUUUUUUUUUUUCAACGCCACCUGUAUAUUUGAUGCCUCGGAUUGUGACUUCGCUAGUUACUUUGAUCUAGUUCAUUUCGUAUCAUAAUCACUUCAUUUCCAUCACCCUUAAUAACAGUAAAUAUUACAUAUAUAAUGAUCUAGUUAAUUUGUUUUUUUGUUUUUGUUUUUGUUUGGAUAGAUAUGGAUCGAAGGAAGCUUUUAUUGAUCUUAUUGUUAGAGAUGUCUUAUUUGGAGACAAUUUGCAUUUGUACGAUUCUUGUGUUGAUGAUGCUACGUGGCAAACAGAGACAUGUUGAACGACCCACAUUGACUAACCGUUCACUUAUUAUACGAGAUAUUAGUUUGUGUUAUCUGAAUGGUAUAAUAGGGAAUACUGAUACUGAAUGUGUCAACGAAUUGAGAAUGGAUAGAAGGACUUUUGGCAUAUUAUGUGACUUACUUCGUCAAGAUGGGAGGGUAAAAACUGAUGGUUUGGUGUCUGUAGAGGAGCAUGUGUGUAUGACUUUACAAAUAUUAGCACAUCAUACUAAGAAUCGUAGUGUUGGCGGUAGAUUUUAUAGGUCGGGAGAAACUAUAAGUAGGUAUUUCAAUAGCGUAUUGCAAGGAAUUUUACGAUUACAAGGUAUCCUACUAAAAGUCCCUCAGCAUGUGCCUAUUGAUUCUACAGAUCCUAGGUGGCGAUGUUUUAAGGUAUGAUGAGAAUUUUUUUUUCAUUUUCCCUAAUCUUUAACUCUUCAUUCCCUUUGUAUAAAUUAACAAAAACUUUUUUUUUUUUUAAGAAUUGCUUGGGAGCAUUGGAUGGAACACACAUUGAUGUGCAUGUACCUGAAAUUGACAAACCAAGAUACCGAACAAGAAAGGGUCGAGUCGCAACUAAUGUGUUAGGUGUGUGUUCAGGAGAUAUGCAGUUCAUAUAUGUGUUUCCGGGUGGGAGGGUUCCGCAUCAGACUCUAGAGUGCUACAUGAUGCAAUUACUAGGCCUAAUGGUUUUAAGGUACCAGCGGGUAAGACUAUUACUUAGUCUCAACUUUGUAAGUUAGGUCUAGUUCUGUUUGUCAACUACAAAACACUAAUAAGGUCUGUUUUUUUUUCAUCAGGUUAUUAUUACCUUGUAGAUGGUGGUUAUACAAAUGGUGAAGGAUUCCUUGCACCCUAUAGAGGAAUACCUUAUCAUUUAUCUGAAUGGGAGAGACGAACACCUUCUAAUAAGGAAGAAUAUUUUAACAUGAAGCAUUCUAAGGCAAGGAAUGUAAUUGAACGCUGUUUUGGCUUGCUAAAAGGAAGGUGGUCGAUACUAAGGAGUCCAUCUUUCUAUCCGAUAAGGACACAAGGUCGAAUAAUUACCGCUUGUUGCCUACUACACAAUCUUAUUAGGCAAGAGAUGUAUGUAGAUUCAAUGGAGAAUUUGCCAAUAAUAGAAGAUGGACAAAAUACAGAAGAAGGUGAAUAUGUUGGUAGUGUUCAAACAUUUGACCAGUGGACUGCAAUGAGGAAUGACAUAGCUCAGGAAAUGUAUAAUGAGUGGAGAGCAAUUAGGAACCAGCAACCGAACUAGCUAUAUGUGUUAAUGAUAACAUUUUAUUUUAGUAUUCAUUUUUAUCAUGCAUUUGUUAGAUAUUAGCACAAUGAUUGGAUGGUAUGCAAAUUAAUUGGAUAUUAUGCAAGUUGAUUGGAUAUUAUGCAAAUUGAUUAUUUGUAUGGUAUUUUCCUUCAUUAAAAUAUUUUUUGUUUAGGUAUGGAUAACGAAAAUAUUUUGAAUGCUACUCAAGAGCCAAAAGGAAGAAGGCGUAAAUGGGAAGCAUUUGAGGAAGAAGUAUUACUAGGAGUUCUUGAGGAUUUUGUUGCUUGGAAGCAACGGUGUGACACCGGUGCUUUCAAACAAGGUACUUUGGUUGAAAUAGCAAAAGCUGUCAAUGUUUUAUGUCCUCAUUCAAAUAUUAAGGCAAAUCCACAUAUUGAGUCCAAGUUGAAGAAAUGGAAAAAAACAUAUAGUAUGGUCGUUGACAUGAUAAACACAAGUGGAUUUGCAUGGAAUGAUGUCAAAAAGUGCGUUGAAGUUGACAGUGAUGACGCAUGGCAAACUUAUGUGCAGGUUCAUAUCCUAUUUUAUUAUACAUUAGUUAUAUUCUUGCUGCUAUAUUUGUUACGCAUGCUAAAUUUUAGUUUUGCUAUGUUGAUAUAAUCUUAGAGAAAUAAAGAAGCCGAUGGACGGAGAAGCAAACAUUUUCCACUGUUUGAUAGAUUUGCAUAUAUAUUUGGAAAAGAUCGGGCUACGGGUAAUGUAGCCGAAACCCCUGCUCAAAUGGUGGAGGAACAAAGUCAUGAUCAUGUUGGUGAAAGUGAUAUUGGAGAUGAAAAUUUUGUUUCUUCAAUGAACCAACAAAGCCAACAAAGCACCCCAUCUGAAAAUAGCCAAAAAAAGAGGAAAAGAACUGUGGGAAGUUCAAGUGAUGGAACCGAGACAAUUAUCAGUGGACUGAAAGAUUUUUAUGUUGAAAGUGGGAAGAGGAUGCAAAUGGUAACUGAAGCUUUAGUUCAAGGUACUGCAGAUCAUACUGACAUAACUAAUGAACUUGAAGCAAUGGGUCUCUCUCCUAUGGAUCAAAUUGAUGCAUUGUCUCUUAUUUUGGAUAAACAAAAAAAUGUGGGAGUGUUCAGGGCAAUCAAACCGGAACUCAAGAAAGUGUUCGUCCAAAAGCUUUUAAGCGACAACGCAAGCGGAUGAGGAUUUUGGCUAAUGUUAACAUGGAUGUAUUUUAUUAAUGUUAACAUGGAUGUAUUUUUAUUAAUCAUCAUACAAUCUUAUGUUAUGGCUUAUAACUUAGCUUUGCACUAGUAUUUUGGCUUAUGUUAACUAGCCAUUUUGUAAAUAUAAUUAUUUUGGAAAGAUCUAUUUUGGCUAAUGUUAACUAAUGUUAACUAGGAUUUUCUAAAUUAUGGAGAUCUUCUUAUGUACUUGUAUUUGUUGAAGUUGCAUGUAUUGGGCACUAUUAAUUUUUCUUCUGUUGGGUGAUAGAGUUUUAAACCAAGCUACAUUUUGCAAAUUAAACCCAAUUCUAUUAGCAGGUAAUAGAAACAAAACAAUUGUCAAUUUUUUUUAAGAUUCAUAAUAUACAUGGCAAAAAUAUGCUCCAAUUAACCCAUAUCAUGAGAUUUGUAGCAUUACUCUAUUACACAAUGGCAAAAAUUUGUAGUCCUAGUCUAAGCAAACACAAAUCUGGUGAACAGUAUUGUUUUUCUUAUCCUGCUUCUUAGUCCGACAUUACACCAAAUGCUUCACUAAGUUAGUCCAGCUUAGUCCAGUCUAAGCCAGUCCAGCUUAGUCCCGGCAGCUAGUCCAGUCCGAGACAGUCCGGUGCAACAAACGCACCCUAAGUGAUGUUAAAUACUUUGCUUUUGAAAGCUUUUUGGUUUCUGGACAUUGAUUUAAACCAAUAACGAAAACAACUCUAAAAAAUAAUUGGAAAACAAAUUGAAUCUUUUUUUUUUAAGAACGAUUAGAAAGUACCACAACACUUACCAAUCAGAAGCAUGGCGAAAAAUGGUAUCAACUCAAUGCACAACGCAUUAACUCAAGACACAUCCAAAUUAUCAGGGUUUCUUUCAAACAAAUACAAUUUUGUAGCAAAAAAUUAUACACACGGUAAACCAAUUUGUUACAGCCAGCAUAAACACAACAGAGAACCAAAUUGCCACAGUUUUUUUCAGGGUUCCUUUCAAACAAAUACAAACUGAGAAUCGAAAAUUACACGUAGUUGUUGUAAAACAUACCCAAGCUCAAUAUAAUUUUCUUUGUCAAUAAUCUGAAGAGGCAGCAUGCGAUUAGUCACCAAUUUCACAAAAAAUUUGUCCCAACCUGCAGAUCCGCAG